rnacentral:rRNA from 1 species
CAAUAGCGUAUAUUAACGUUGUUGCAGUUAAAAAGCUCGUAGUUGGAUUUCUGGAGGGAGCGUCGGCCCGUAUUUACGAGUGCGUGACGUCUCUGUCCAUCCUUGCGGGAAGGCACGGCAUUGAUUUGUUGUGUCGGAUCGCAUCAUUUACUGUGAAAAAAUUAGAGUGUUCAAAGCAGGCUUUCGCUUGAAUACAUUAGCAUGGAAUAAUAAGAUAGGACUUUGGUGCUAUUUUGUUGGUUGAGCCUAAAGUAAUGAUUAAUAGGGAUAGUUGGGGGCACCUGUAUUGCGUUGUCAGAGGUGAAAUUCUUGGAUUUACGCAAGACAAACAGCUGCGAAANGGNNNGCCAAGGAUGUUUUCAUNAA